rnacentral:rRNA from 1 species
CAGUCGCCGCGGGAAUACGGAGGGUGCAAGCGUUAAUCGGAAUUACUGGGCGUAAAGCGCACGCAGGCGGUCUGACAAGUCAGAUGUGAAAUCCCCGGGCUUAACCUGGGAACUGCAUUUGAAACUGUCAGGCUGGAGUCUUGCAGAGGGGGGUGGAAUUCCAGGUGUAGCGGUGAAAUGCGUAGAGAUCUGGAGGAAUACCGGUGGCGAAGGCGGCCCCCUGGACAAAGACUGACGCUCAGGUGCGAAAGCGUGGGGAGCAAACAGGAUUAGAUACCCGAGUAGUCCCUGUCUCUUAUAC